rnacentral:rRNA from 1 species
UACGGGGGGGGCAAGCGUUGUUCGGAAUUACUGGGCGUAAAGGGCUCGUAGGCGGCCAACUAAGUCAGACGUGAAAUCCCUCGGCUUAACCGGGGAACUGCGUCUGAUACUGGAUGGCUUGAGUUUGGGAGAGGGAUGCGGAAUUCCAGGUGUAGCGGUGAAAUGCGUAGAUAUCUGGAGGAACACCGGUGGCGAAGGCGGCAUCCUGGACCAACACUGACGCUGAGUGAGCGAAAGCCAGGGGAGCAAACUGG